rnacentral:rRNA from 1 species
CCCCGCCUGGGGAGUACGGCCGCAAGGCUAAAACUCAAAGGAAUUGACGGGGGCCCGCACAAGCGGCGGAGCAUGCGGAUUAAUUCGAUGCAACGCGAAGAACCUUACCAAGGCUUGACAUGAGCGAGAACGCUACAGAAAUGUAGUUCUCUUUGGACACUCGUUUACAGGUGGUGCAUGGUUGUCGUCAGCUCGUGUCGUGAGAUGUUGGGUUAAGUCCCGCAACGAGCGCAACCCUCGUCCUAUGUUGCCAGCACGUUAUGGUGGGAACUCAUGGGAGACUGCCGGGGUCAACUCGGAGGAAGGUGGGGAUGACGUCAAAUCAUCAUGCCCCUUAUGUCUUGGGCUUCACGCAUGCUACAAUGGCCGGUACAAAGGGCUGCGAUACCGUAAGGUGGAGCGAAUCCCAAAAAGCCGGUCUCAGUUCGGAUUGGGGUCUGCAACUCGACCCCAUGAAGUUGGAGUCGCUAGUAAUCGUAGAUCAGCAACGCUACGGUGAAUACGUUCCCGGGCCUUGCACA